UUAAUAAUUUUUGGGUUUUAUUUUUAAAUAUAUUAAUUAAGUAUAUUCAUGAACUAAAUUUUCUUAUAAACUGAUUAGGUUAAAAUUUAUAAUUAUAAUAUAAUUUGUUAGUACCUUUUGUAUCAUGGUAAAUUUAAUAAUAAAUAUAUAAUUAUUUCCCGAAAAGUAAAUAUUUAUUUAAUAAUUUCUUUUUUUGUUGUAAAAAAAUUGUUAAUUUUUAAAUAGUAGUGAAAUGUUAAUCGCUUUACUUUAUAUCUGGUUAACUAGGAAAUCAAUUUAAUUGAGGACUUAUUUUUAGUUUUAUAUUAUUUUGGAUAAUCUGAAUUUUUUCUUAAAACUUUAAUUUUUAUAUAUUUAUUAAAUUUUAAAUCUUUUUUUAAGUUCUUAAUUGAUUAAUAUUUUUGUAUUUGAUUUUUUUUUGUGUUUAUGUUUUUACUUGUUAAAAUUAUUUAAUUUUUUUUUAAUUUUUAUAAUGAUUUAAUUAGUAAAAUUUUAAAUUAAUUUUUAAUGAACUCGACAUUUAUUAUUUCCAACUGUUUAUCAAAAACAUUUCCUUUAGUUUAUUGUUUAAGGUAAUUUCUGCCCUAUGAAUUUUAAAUGGCUGCAGUACCCUGACUGUGCAAAGGUAGCAUAAUAAUUAGUCAUUUAAUUGUUGACUUGUAUGAAUGAAUACAUGAGAUGUAAAUUUUAUUAGUUUUAAUAUUUAAAUUUUAUUUUUAGGUAAAAAAGCUUAAUUAAUUUUUAGGGACGAUAAGACCCUAUAGAACUUUAUAAAUUUAUUAAAUUAAUUGGAUUUAGAAGUUUAUUUUAUUUGUUUUAAUUAAAUUUGUUUAGUUGGGGUGACAGGUAAAUUUUACUUUACUUUAUUUGAUCAUUAAGUUUAUGUUUUUAUUGAUCCAUUAUUUAGACAAAAAGAAAAAGUUACCUUAGGGAUAACAGCGUAAUUUUAGUGGGGAGUUCUUAUUUAUACUAAAGUUUGCGACCUCGAUGUUGAAUUAAGAUUAGUUUAGGGGGUAGGUUUUCUGAAACUAAGUCUGUUCGACUUUUAAAAUCUUACAUGAUUUGAGUUCAAACCGGUGUGAGCCAGGUUGGUUUCUAUCUUAAUAUUAUUAAAUUUAUUUAGUACGAAAGGACCAGUAAGUUCAAUAUUUUUUGUAA
rnacentral:rRNA from 1 species